AUGUGGUCCCUGGAGGGGGCCAAAGAGGUGCUAGCCAAGUUCUGCAUCAUCGACCGGCUCGACAGCCACACCUUUAAGCGUCGGGACACGCGCACGUUCGCCUGCUGGGUGUGGGUGUGGAACCUCACGAACAUCCCCACCCGCCACUGCCUUUCCAGCUUCGAGGAGGGGGCUGGCCGCAUGACGGAGAUGCUGGGCUACUCGCCGCCGCUCAGGGCUAACCGCGUCGUCCCCCCGCCCCCUGAGGGGGAGCGCAGCUCCCUGCUCUUCCACAUCGACCGCGUCGAGGACUGGACACCUCGCGGGCCACAGUCUCCGGAGUCCUACCAGAGCGGCCUGCCAUCCUCGGGUUCCGACGACGACGAUCGCCGCCCCAUGCCGGUGAUCGCCACGCUUGACUGGAGGUUCAACGUCGAGGACAACCGCUAG
rnacentral:rRNA from 1 species